rnacentral:rRNA from 1 species
UACGAGGGGGGCAAGCGUUGUUCGGAAUUAUUGGGCGUAAAGGGUGCGUAGGCGGUCUGACAAGUCUGAUGCGAAAUCUAUGGGCUCAACCCAUAGUCUGCAUCGGAAACUGUCGGGCUUGAGUAUGGGAGAGGUGAGUGGAAUUUCCGGUGUAGCGGUGAAAUGCGUAGAUAUCGGAAGGAACACCUGUGGCGAAAGCGGCUCACUGGACCAUUACUGACGCUGAGGCACGAAAGCUAGGGGAGCAAACAGG